ACCCCUCUGGUCCUGUUCUCAUCUGAUCUCAACACUGGCCUUGGAGGUCAUAAAGAAGAAAAAGGACACUGAAGCUGGUCUCACAAUGAUGUCGUCUGGUACAGAGCAUCGGUCCAGACUCAAACAGGU
rfam:Neotoma lepida isolate 417 scaffold_1148, whole genome shotgun sequence.